AAAAACAUGGCUCCUUGUAGAUUAAAGAUGGGGAGUCGGACCUGCCCGGUGAAUUUUUUUUAACGGCCGCGGUACUCUGACCGUGCAAAGGUAGCAUAAUCAUUUGCCUUAUAAUUGAAGGCUAGUAUGAAUGGUUUAACAAGAAUGUUACUGUCUCAUUAUAGUUAAAUAGAACUUUAUUUUCAGGUGAAGAAGCCUGUAUGAAAUUGAAAGACAAGAAGACCCUAUCGAGCUUUAAAAAAAUUAAUAGAUUAAAAUUCUAUUACAUUAAAAGAUUAACUAUUAAAAAUUUUAGUUGGGGCGACCGAGGAACAAAAAAAGCUUCUUUUAAACUUAAUAUAGCUGACAAGCAAUGAUCCAAAAUAUUUUGAUUAGAGAAAUUAGUUACCGUAGGGAUAACAGCAUUAUCUUUUUUAAGAGUUCUUAUCGAAAAAAARGGUUGUGACCUCGAUGUUGGACCAGAAUAUCCUAAAGAUGCAGCAGUCNUUAAGGGUUGU
rnacentral:rRNA from 1 species